rnacentral:rRNA from 1 species
GACGAACGCUGGCGGCGUGCUUAACACAUGCAAGUCGAACGGAAAGGCCCUGCUUUUGUUGGUUUCUCGUUUGGCGAACGGGUGAGUAACACGUGAGUAUCCUGUCCUUGACUUUGUGAUAACUUCAGGAAACUGGGGCUAAUACCGCAUAUGAUCUCCUGCUGCAUGGUGGGGGUUGGAAAGUUUCGGCGGUUGGGGAUGGACUCGCGGCUUAUCAGCUUGUUGGUGGGGUAGUGGCUUACCAAGGCUUUGACGGGUAGCCGGCCUGAGAGGGUGACCGGCCACAUUGGGACUGAGAUACGGCCCAGACUCCUACGGGAGGCAGCAGUGGGGAAUAUUGCACAAUGGGCGGAAGCCUGAUGCAGCAACGCCGCGUGCGGGAUGACGGCCUUCGGGUUGUAAACCGCUUUCGCCUGUGACGAAGCGUGAGUGACGGUAAUGGGUAAAGAAGCACCGGCUAACUACGUG